AGUAGCCAACUUUGUGAGGUGUUUGGGUAUCUCACGUCGAAUUGUUAAUUUGUGCUUUAAUCUUAGCCCAAAGGGGUUUUGCUCUGUUUGGAGAACACGACGCUGUUCCUCAUCUUACGAUGUCACAUGAGAAUCUUGUCUCUGCCAUCGACACUCGACCCUUCUCUGCCCGUCCAAGCCGCCCGUAAAUUCCGUCUCGCAUUCGCCCGCGGCCGCCAGAACCUCACCUUUCAGUCGGGUUUUUCCGAUUUGGGUCAUGCAUCGCUACAGAGACAGCGACAUGUUGCUUCGCUCGCAAAUCUCCUCUCCAUCUCCACCCAGUCAAAAGCACUGGCCGUUGGAGCUCAAGCCCAUUGUAGGGCAGUCAAGCUUGGGUUCAGAGAUGACGUCUUUGUUCAGAACCAUCUCAUCAACAUGUACUCGAGGUGUGGGACCUUGGGCGACGGGCUCAAGGUGUUCGGUGAAAUGCCUCGGAGAAAUCUUGUUUCCUGGACUUCGCUUAUCUCGGGCGCGGUGUGUAGUGGGGAGCUAGAUGUUGGUUUCCGGGUUUUUCUGGAGUUGAUGGGGAGUGGGUUAAGGCCAAACGAGUUUUCUAUUGGCAGUGUUUUGAAAGGGUGCGCCAUCAUGGAGGCUUGCGAGUUGGGUCUGUGCGUUCAUGGUCUUGUUGUGAAGCUUGGGAUGGAAAAGGAUUCUUUUUUCGGGAGUUCAAUGUUGAGCUUAUAUUCCAAGUUGGGCUGUGUUGAAGAAGCUGAGCAGAUUUUUAAUUACAUGGAGAAUUGUGACGUUGGCUGUUGGAAUGCUAUGAUAGGAGGGUAUUUACUGUGCGGACGUGGAGUUGAAGCCAUGAGGCUUGCGUCUUCAAUGAGGACUAAGGGAGUGAUUAUGGAUGAGUUUACGUUUAUCAAUGCCCUUAAAGGCUGCGUUCUGUUGGGUAAUUUGUAUUACGGAAAACUGCUUCAUGGGCUGAUCAUGUGUAGCAACAUGCAAUUUAGCAUUCCAGUGAUGAAUUCACUCAUUGAUAUGUAUCAUAAAAAUUGUCAGGAGAAAUAUGCUUUUGAAGUAUUUGAUAGGAUGCUGAAGAAAGAUGUUAUAUCCUGGAAUACCAUAUUUGGGGCCUUUCAUGAAGAACAGGAUGUGACAAAAGUUGCAGGCUUAUUUCGUAAAUUCAUGCUUGCAGGAUUGAAGCCUAAUGAAGUUACUUUUUCCGUCUUGUUCAGACAAUGUGGAAACGCUUGUGAUUUAAGCAUGGGGCUUCAGCUUUGCUGUCUUGCCAUGCAUUUUGGACACUUCCACCGCAGUAAUGUCACAAGUUCACUUAUCAACAUGUUUGCCAGAUGCAACGCUUUAUUUAUGGCACGUUCAGUUUUCGAUAGCAUACUGUCGAAGGGGACAGGUGAUUUCAAUGAAUUGAUUUCUGGGUACAAUUUGUAUUGUUAUUACCCAGAAUCUCUACAUGUUUUCCGCGAUUUAUUAAGGUCAGAAGUGGAAACUAAUGUAUUUACAUUUGCCAGCAUUUUAGAAACCUGUGUAGAAUCUGGAAAUGGAAAGAUGGGCAGACAAAUUCACGGAGUGAUAAUUAAGAGGGCUCUUUCGGGAGAUAAUCAUAUGUGCUGCUCGUUAGCUAAAUUCUAUAUUAGGUUCGGGUGUCCUGAUGUUGCUUUUCUAUGUUUUGAUGCGCUUGAGAAAUUAGAUUUGACCUGCUGGAGUAUUAUCAUAUCAACCUUCAAUGGCAGCGGCUUCCAUAGGGAAGCCAUUAGAUCUCUGAACUUUCUUUUAGAAGAUGAUGGCAAACCUGAUGAGUUCAUCUUCGGCAGUAUAUUUAACAGUUGUGCCGAUAGUUCUUCUUUUAAUCGAGCUAGAUCUGUCCAUUCACUUGCUACCAAGACUGGCUAUGAUAGACAUGUAUAUGUUGCUAGUUCAAUUAUCGAUGCUUAUUCAAAGUGCGGGGACAUUGCUAAUGCAAGAUUAGCUUUCAAUCAGUCAUCUGGAUCAGAUGACGUGGUUGUAUUCAAUUCCAUGAUCAUGGCUUAUGCUCAUCAUGGUCUCGUAACGGAAGCUUUGGAACUCUUUCACAAAAUGAAGGUGGCAAAUCUGUGUCCUAGUCAGGCUACUUUUAUCUCUGUCAUUUCUGCUUGUGGUCAUAUGGGGUAUGUUGAUCAAGGUUGUUCAUUGUUUGAGUCAAUGAAAUUGGAUUAUGGGUUGGAACCAUCUCCAGGAGUUUUCGGCUGCUUAGUAGAUAUGCUGUCACGAAAUGGAUACCUUGAAGGUGCUAAGGGUUUGAUUGAAACAAUGCCUUUUUCACCUUGGCCUGGCAUUUGGAGAUCUUUCCUUAGUGGUUGCAGGAUACAUGGAAAUAGAGAGUUAGGAGAAUGGGCUUCUCAAAUGUUAUGUCAAUUGGUCCCAGAAAAUGAUGCAGCUCACGUACUGUUGUUUAAGGUUUAUUCAGAAGCAGGUAGUUGGGAAAAUGCUGAGCAUCUGAGACAAAAUAUGAUUUGGAAAGGAAUUUCAAAGUCCCCUGGAUAUAGCUGGAUACAAGCGCAUUGAAAGUUGAACUGCAGACUACUUUGACGGAGAUGCUCUCUGUUAAGAGCUUGAUCAUGGCCACAAUGAAGUGUUUGAAGAACGCUUGCUGAGCUCUAGUCAUCAAACUCACCAUUCCUCGGGUCUUCUUUCCUGAAUUCAACAUCUAAUUAGUCACUAACAACCUGAAACACUUUUGAAGGUUCUGGUAGCAUGCAUUGUCCAGCGUGCAUGACGUUGUCACGUUGUUGAAUGCCAUCACCGCCACUCUUGAGACACGUGCCUCCGGGAUGCCGCGCGUUGUCUCUGUCCACGGUUGGGUCGAUGGCUUGUGUACGUUGCAGUGGUAGAUUCUGGAUGUGAGAGGCACGAAUGCAGUGUGCACCCACCAAGGCCACCAUAUCUCCAACAGAGAGGCCGUUGGAUUGGAAGAGAGAGAAAAUUCGAGGGGGAGAGUUUGGUUCACUUGUGGUUGUGGGAUGUUUCCCACCACUAUUGAUGCCCCGGAGUAAACAGAAUGGAACGAUUGAAAUAUCGAGUAAACUUACCAUGUAAAUGGAGUCGCGGGUGGCGAUGGUCAUGAGAUCGGCACAAGAGACCAACCUCGCACUGCAACUCUACAGCUUUCUUGGCUCUAAAGUCUAAAGAAUAAAUCAAAAUCAUACCCAUCGCCGGACAAUUCCAGACUGAGCUCUGCAUCGGUCUCCGCCUUGUUAGUGUCAUUUGAUGUUAUCAAAACCCAUGCAUUUUAUCCCUUUUUGUAUUACAUUGUGAAGAAUAAUCCAUCAAUAUAUAUGUAAGCUGGAAGCCUAUGAAAUGGAUACAUAAAGAGAACAGUAGAAAGAAAUUAAGAGGAAAAGGUGCAACUCAUGCUUCUCGCGGCAAUCAGCCCUUAUUAUUAUAA